rnacentral:rRNA from 1 species
GAGCCUACGGGAGGCUGCAGUGGGGAAUAUUGGGCAAUGGGCGCAAGCCUGACCCAGCAACGCCGCGUGAGGGAAGAAGGUCUUCGGAUUGUAAACCUCUGUCCUUGGGGACGAAAAAAAUGACGGUACCCAAGGAGGAAGCUCCGGCUAACUACGUGCCAGCAGCCGCGGUAAUACGUAGGGAGCAAGCGUUGUCCGGAAUUACUGGGCGUAAAGGGUGCGUAGGCGGCAAGGCAAGUCAGAUGUGAAAUCCCCGGGCUUAACUCGGGGGGUGCAUUUGAAACUGCUUUGCUUGAGUGCAGGAGAGGAAAGCGGAAUUCCUAGUGUAGCGGUGAAAUGCGUAGAUAUUAGGAGGAACACCAGUGGCGAAGGCGGCUUUCUGGACUGUAACUGACGCUGAGGCACGAAAGCGUGGGGAGCAAACAGGAUUAGAUACCCGAGUAGUCCGU